UGAAAACAUAAAUUUGUCACGUUGACCAGAUUUGAAGUCAUUUUCUUCCGUUCAGUUAGUCAAUACAUAAUUUGACUAUCUGUUUCCUCAACAUUACCAGUCUCUGGUAAACUUUGACUUGUAUCCUGGUCAUUUUGUUUAUAUUGUUUGGCGGGAAGAAACAAUAGCGUCGGUCGCCAUUUUCCUCCCAGGAAAACACGAAGUGAUGUAUGGCAUGGACUCUCAACUUCCACUGAAUGGACAAACAAAUCAAAAUACAAUGCAUUGUUACGAAUAUAGACAAGAUGAAAACCACAUUAAGUACACGAAGAUGCUACCAUGAAUAGAAGAAAUAAGUUAAUCCAUUUCUGAGGAAAACAGCCAAACAAGAAGAAAACAGAACUGAUGAUGAUUUCAUUCCCAUGUGCCAUGUUUGCUAAGGACCUGUGAAAUGAUCAAAGAAGAAAACAACCAGUAAGCAGUUAAUAUAUUCCUCUGAGGUAGGAAAACAAAGCAACAACGUAACUGAAAGGGUGCAACGAGGGACUGUUUCCUGAAGUUAUUUCUUUGAUUGAUUAGAAAUCAUU